GGGGAUUUAGCUCAGUGGUAGAGCGCUUGCCUAGGAAGCGCAAGGCCCUGGGUUCGACCCCCAGCUCCG
rfam:Rattus norvegicus chromosome 2, whole genome shotgun sequence.